rnacentral:rRNA from 1 species
GAUGAACGCUGGCGGCGUGCCUAAUACAUGCAAGUCGAGCGAACGGACGAGAAGCUUGCUUCUCUGAUGUUAGCGGCGGACGGGUGAGUAACACGUGGAUAACCUACCUAUAAGACUGGGAUAACUUCGGGAAACCGGAGCUAAUACCGGAUAAUAUUUUGAACCGCAUGGUUCAAAAGUGAAAGACGGUCUUGCUGUCCCUUAUAGAUGGAUCCGCGCUGCAUUAGCUAGUUGGUAAGGUAACGGCUUACCAGGGCAACGAUGCAUAGCCGACCUGAGAGGGUGAUCGGCCACACUGGAACUGAGACACGGUCCAGACUCCUACGGGAGGCAGCAGUAGGGAAUCUUCCGCAAUGGGCGAAAGCCUGACGGAGCAACGCCGCGUGAGUGAUGAAGGUCUUCGGAUCGUAAAACUCUGUUAUUAGGGAAGAACAUAUGUGUAAGUAACUGUGCACAUCUUGACGGUACCUAAUCAGAAAGCCACGGCUAACUACGUG